rnacentral:rRNA from 1 species
UACGGAGGGUGCGAGCGUUAAUCGGAAUUACUGGGCGUAAAGGGUGCGUAGGUGGUUUAUUAAGUUAUCUGUGAAAUCCCUGGGCUCAACCUGGGCAGGUCAGAUAAGACUGGUAAACUCGAGUAUGGGAGAGGGUAGUGGAAUUUCCGGUGUAGCGGUGAAAUGCGUAGAGAUCGGAAGGAACACCAGUGGCGAAGGCGGCUACCUGGCCUAAUACUGACACUGAGGCACGAAAGCGUGGGGAGCAAAC